rnacentral:rRNA from 1 species
AUUGAACGCUGGCGGCAGGCCUAACACAUGCAAGUCGAGCGGAGCGGCGGACGGGUGAGUAAUGCCUAGGAAUCUGCCUGGUAGUGGGGGAUAACGUCCGGAAACGGGCGCUAAUACCGCAUACUAUCAGAUGAGCCUAGGUCGGAUUGGCUAGUUGGUGGGGUAAAGGCCUACCAAGGCGACGAUCCGUAACUGGUCUGAGAGGAUGAUCAGUCACACUGGAACUGAGACACGUUCCAGACUCAUACGGGAGGCAGCAGGGGUGAAUAUUGGACAAUGGGCGAAAGCCGGAUCCAGCAAUGCCGCGUGUGUGAAGAAGGUCUUCGGAUUGUAAAGCACUUUAAGUUGGGAGGAGGGAAAAAAAGAAUAAUCACCGGCUAACUUCGUGCCAGCAGCCGCGGUAAUUG